GAUGAACGCUGGCGGCGUGCCUAAUACAUGCCAGUCGAGCGAGCGGACGAGAAGCUUGCUUCUCUGAUGUUAGCGGCGGACGGGUGAGUAACACGUGGAUAACCUACCUAUAAGACUGGGAUAACUUCGGGAAACCGGAGCUAAUACCGGAUAAUAUUUUGAACCGCAUGGUUCAAAAGUGAAAGACGGUCUUGCUGUCACUUAUAGAUGGAUCCGCGCUGCAUUAGCUAGUUGGUAAGGUAACGGCUUACCAAGGCAACGAUGCAUAGCCGACCUGAGAGGGUGAUCGGCCACACUGGAACUGAGACACGGUCCAGACUCCUACGGGAGGCAGCAGUAGGGAAUCUUCCGCAAUGGGCGAAAGCCUGACGGAGCAACGCCGCGUGAGUGAUGAAGGUCUUCGGAUCGUAAAACUCUGUUAUUAGGGAAGAACAUAUGUGUAAGUAACUGUGCACAUCUUGACGGUACCUAAUCAGAAAGCCACGGCUAACUACGUG
rnacentral:rRNA from 1 species